GGCCCGGUAGCGGUGGUCCGCACCCGUACACUAUUCGAAAUUUUCGCCCAGACGAAUUCGUGAGGUGCUCGUUCGAAUCGAGCCCGGGUCC